rnacentral:rRNA from 1 species
UGGCGGCAGGCCUAACACAUGCAAGUCGAACGGUAACAUUUCUAGCUUGCUAGAAGAUGACGAGUGGCGGACGGGUGGGAACUUGCCUUUGCGAGGGGGAUAACAGUUGGAAACGACUGCUAAUACCGCAUAAUGUCUUCGGACCAAACGGGCCGGCGCAAAGAGAGGCCCAAGUGAGAUUAGCUAGUUGGUAAGGUAACGGCUACCAAGGCGACGAUCUCUAGCUGUUCUGAGAGGAAGAUCAGCCACACUGGUUGUAAAGCACUUUCAGUUGUGAGGAAAAGUUAGUAGUUAAUACCUGCUAGCCGUGACGUUAACACAGAAGCACCGGCUAACUCCGUGCCAGCAGCCGCGCGGAGGGUGCGAGCGUUAAUCGGAAUUACUGGGCAAGCGCACGCAGGCGGUUUGUUAAGCUAGAGAGUAAUGCUU